rnacentral:rRNA from 1 species
CUAAACGACUCUCGGCAACGGAUAUCUCGGCUCUUGCAUCGAUGAAGAACGUAGCGAAAUGCGAUACUUGGUGUGAAUUGCAGAAUCCCGUGAACCAUCGAGUCUUUGAACGCAAGUUGCGCCUGAAGCCACUAGGUUGAAGGCACGUCUGCCUGGGCGUCACGCAUCCCGUCAC